GCGUCGGUGGCGCAGCGGAUAGCAUACGCUCCCAAAAUGAGUGAGUUCUCGGAUCGAAUCCCGGCUGAAGCA